rnacentral:lncRNA from 1 species
CCAAGAUCGCACACACGGGAGUCUUUGCAUUUUCCACACUGAGGCAGCCAUGGAGACUUCACACUGUAUUUAUUACAUGGUUAUAAGGAACAUCACGUGCAAGACACUAACAAUUAUGACGACUUUGGACAUUGCUAGGUAAUUGUCAAAAUUGUGCAUUUGAACAGCAGCAAAAUAUUCAAAGCUGGUGUGCCCUCGCUGACACGAAAUGAAUUGUCAUUUUCUGAACAUUCACCAAAGCCUGCCAGGCGCUAGGCCUAGGUUCAGCAGCACACAAUAGUGAAGCCCCCAUUCAAGCGGGCUUCGUUUCACCAGCGUACGUCACACGUCCGUGGAGCAGCGAGACCAGAGGAGCUGGGAAAGCCAGGGCUGAGCCUUGUGCUUUUGCCCUUUUAAGGGAGGACAGAUUAAUUCCAAUCAGCCUGGGCUUGGGAGCUGUAUUUGAAGCAGAGGAAAAGUUUUAAGACGGGCAUUUUUUUUUCUUUGACUGAAACAACUCUGAAAACAGCAGAGAACACAAUACGAAUUCUCGUACCACACACAGACACUUGCAAAGAUUUGGCUGGUUAACACACAAGUUAAGACUUUAAAUUUCAUAAGCCCUAAAACAGUGGCAAUUAUGAAGAGAUAUAAUGGCUCAAAAUCAUAAUGCACUGAUGUAAACAAAGCAAAGGCAAGCUUCUUGGCUUUUAAGGGCGUCCUGUACAUUCCAAGUACUGUAAAGCCCCACAUUUGUGACCGUCGCACUGAAAGCCAGCCUGCUUUUCACUCUACAGCAGUAAAGAGGCUUUCCAUUAUACAUAAAAUGCCGUUUUUCAGUUCUCGAACUCACAAACCCAAAUGCCACAAAACAUCUUUUUGUGUAUUUUUUCUUUCACAAAAUGUAUACUCUUGCCCCCCACCCCCACCCCCAACCGUUUCCUUUUACUGGAUCAAAAGGUAUGAAC